GAUGAACGCUGGCGGCGUGCCUAAUACAUGCAAGUCGAGCGAACAGACGAGGAGCUUGCUCCUCUGACGUUAGCGGCGGACGGGUGAGUAACACGUGGAUAACCUACCUAUAAGACUGGGAUAACUUCGGGAAACCGGAGCUAAUACCGGAUAAUAUAUUGAACCGCAUGGUUCAAUAGUGAAAGACGGUUUUGCUGUCACUUAUAGAUGGAUCCGCGCCGCAUUAGCUAGUUGGUAAGGUAACGGCUUACCAAGGCAACGAUGCGUAGCCGACCUGAGAGGGUGAUCGGCCACACUGGAACUGAGACACGGUCCAGACUCCUACGGGAGGCAGCAGUAGGGAAUCUUCCGCAAUGGGCGAAAGCCUGACGGAGCAACGCCGCGUGAGUGAUGAAGGUCUUCCGAUCGUAAAACUCUGCUAUUAGGAAAGAACAAAUGUGUAAGUAACUAUGGACGAAUGGACGGUAACUAAUCAGAAAGCCACGGCUAACUACGUU
rnacentral:rRNA from 1 species